rnacentral:rRNA from 1 species
AUUGAACGCUGGCGGCAGGCCUAACACAUGCAAGUCGAGCGGAUGAAGGGAGCUUGCUCCUGGAUUCAGCGGCGGACGGGUGAGUAAUGCCUAGGAAUCUGCCUGGUAGUGGGGGAUAACGUCCGGAAACGGGCGCUAAUACCGCAUACGUCCUGAGGGAGAAAGUGGGGGAUCUUCGGACCUCACGCUAUCAGAUGAGCCUAGGUCGGAUUAGCUAGUUGGUGGGGUAAAGGCCUACCAAGGCGACGAUCCGUAACUGGUCUGAGAGGAUGAUCAGUCAAAAUGGAAAUUAGACACGGUCCAGGAUCCUAAGGGAGGCAGGAGUGGGGAAUAUUGGACCAUGGGCGAAAGCCUGAUCCCGCCAUGCCGGGUGGGUUAAGGAGGUUUUCGGAUUGUAAAACAAUUUAAGUUGGGAGGAAGGGCAGUAAGUUAAUACCUUGCUGUUUUGACGUUACCAACAGAAUAAGCACCGGCUAACUUCGUG